rnacentral:ncRNA from 1 species
UAAAUUGAGAGUUUGAUCCUGGCUCAGGACGAACGCUGGCGGCGUGCCUAACACAUGCAAGUCGAGCGGAGAAUGCGGAUAUGUUUACAUAGAAGCGUUCUUAGCGGCGGACGGGUGAGUAACACGUGGGUAACCUGCCUCAAAGUGGGGGAUAGCCUUCCGAAAGGAAGAUUAAUACCGCAUAA